rnacentral:rRNA from 1 species
AACAAACGCUGGCGGCGUGCAUAACACAUGCAAGUCUGACGGGAUAGUUGGCUUCGGCUGGCGAGUACCGUGGCGAACGGGUGAGUAACACGUGGGUAAUCAAACCUCGAGUUUGGGAUAACCUUGCGAAAGCGGGGCUAAUACCGGAUAAGACCACGCCAUGCAUGCAUGGAGCGGUAAAAGGUGGCCUCUUCUUGAAAGCUAUCACUCGAGGAUGAGCCCGCGGCCUAUUAGCUAGUUGGUGGGGUAAUGGCCCACCAAGGCGACGAUGGGUAGCCGGCCUGAGAGGGUGUACGGCCACACUGGCACUGAGACACGGGCCAGACUCCUACGGGAGGCAGCAGUGGGGAAUUUUGCGCAAUGGGGGAAACCCUGACGCAGCAACGCCGCGUGAGUGAUGAAGGCCUUCGGGUCGUAAAGCUCUUUUAGUGGGGAAGAAACCUUCAGGGUCAAUACCCCUGGAGAAUGACGGUACCCACAGAAAAAGUUCCGGCUAACUACGUGCCAGCCGCCGCGGUAAGAC